ACAGGUAUUGAUGACGUAUCGUUACGAAUAAUUAUGCAGUAGUGAAUUAAAACUUUCAAAACCAAUACUCUUCGGGGUUCCAUUGUAAAUUAGUUAGAAAAUUAUUAAUAAAAUAUUGAAAGUACGAUAGAAUAAUAUAAAUGUUACAAAAUUAUUCCAAUAUAAUGUUAUAAUAUUAUAUCGAAACUUUUAUAUAGGGAUAAAUUAAAUGUGAUGCAAGAGUCAGUAUACUUUUAAAGAGCUUAAACAAAAGACAAACAAUCAGUCAUAUUGGAGAAUUAAAUUUGUAAACCAACUAUCGGAUUAAAAAA